CAGUAGCCGCGGGAAUACGAAGGGUGCAAGCGUUAAUCGGAAUUACUGGGCGUAAAGCGUGCGUAGGCGGUUUGUUAAGUCUGUUGUGAAAUCCCCGGGCUCAACCUGGGAAUGGCAAUGGAUACUGGCAAGCUAGAGUGUGUCAGAGGAUGGUGGAAUUCCCGGUGUAGCGGUGAAACGCGUAGAGAUCGGGAGGAACAUCAGUGGCGAAGGCGGCCAUCUGGGACAACACUGACGCUGAGGCACGAAAACGUGGGGAGCAAACAGGAUUAGAUACCCCCGUAGUCCCUGUCUCUUAUAC
rnacentral:rRNA from 1 species